UACGUAGGCAGCGAGCGUUGUUCGGAAUCACUGGGCGUAAAGGGCGCGUAGGCGGCUUUAUAAGUCGGGGGUGAAAGCCUGUGGCUCAACCACAGAAUUGCCUUCGAUACUGUAUGGCUUGAGACCGGAAGAGGUAAGUGGAACUGCGAGUGUAGAGGUGAAAUUCGUAGAUAUUCGCAAGAACACCAGUGGCGAAGGCGGCUUACUGGUCCGGUUCUGACGCUGAGGCGCGAAAGCGUGGGGAGCAAACAGG
rnacentral:rRNA from 1 species